GGGGGCGACCUGGUUUCGACGGGGAUGCGGAAGCAAGAGGAGCGUGCCGAGGACACCGGUUGGCCUCGUAAAUCAUCCGGUAAAAACUAUAAGUGCCGACAACUACGAAGUCGCACUCGCUGCUUAACUGACAGCGACGCUCUCUCCGUGGAUUCCCGCUAAGCGGACUUGAGAGUGUCAACCCCCAGUGGGA
rnacentral:tmRNA from 1 species